UACGGAGGGGGCUAGCGUUGUUCGGAAUUACUGGGCGUAAAGCGCACGUAGGCGGUCUUUUAAGUCGGGGGUGAAAUCCUGGAGCUCAACUCCAGAACUGCCUUCGAUACUGGAAGACUUGAGUCCGGGAGAGGUGAGUGGAACUGCGAGUGUAGAGGUGAAAUUCGUAAGAUAUUCGCAAGAACACCAGUGGCGAAGGCGGACUCACCUGGCCCGGUACUCGGACCGCUGACGGUU
rnacentral:rRNA from 1 species